UACGGAGGAUGCGAGCGUUAUCCGGAUUUAUUGGGUUUAAAGGGUGCGCAGGCGGCACGGCAAGCCGGCGGUCAAAUCGCGGGGCUCAACCCCGCCCAGCCGUCGGAACUGCCGGGCUAGAGUGGGCGAGAAGUGCGCGGAAUGCGUGGCGUAGCGGUGAAAUGCAUAGAUAUCACGCAGAACUCCGAUUGCGAAGGCAGCAUACCGGCGCCCUACUGACGCUGAGGCACGAAAGCGUGGGUAUCGAACAGG
rnacentral:rRNA from 1 species